rnacentral:rRNA from 1 species
AGAGUUUGAUCAUGGCUCAGAUUGAACGCUGGCGGCAGGCCUAACACAUGCAAGUCGAACGGUAGCACAGAGAGCUUGCUCUCGGGUGACGAGUGGCGGACGGGUGAGUAAUGUCUGGGGAUCUGCCCGAUAGAGGGGGAUAACCACUGGAAACGGUGGCUAAUACCGCAUAACGUCGCAAGACCAAAGAGGGGGACCUUCGGGCCUCUUGCCAUCGGAUGUGCCCAGAUGGGAUUAGCUAGUAGGUGGGGUAACGGCUCACCUAGGCGACGAUCCACGGCCUACCAAGGCGAUGAUCGGUAGCUGGUUUGAGAGGGUGAUCGGUCACACUGGAACUGAGACACGGUCCCGACUCCUACGGGAGGCAGCAGUGGGGAAUUCGCAAUGGGCGAAAGCCUGACGGAGCAACGCCGCGUGAGUGAUGAAGGUCUUCGGAUCGUAAAACUCUGUUAUUAGGGAAGAACAAAUGUGUAAGUAACUAUGCACGUCUUGACGGUACCUAAUCAGAAAGCCACGGCUAAUUCGUGCCAGCAGCCGCGGUAAUACGGAGGGUGCAAGCGUUAAUCGGAAUACUGGGGCGUAAAGCGCGCGUAGGCGGUUUUUUAAGUCUGAUGUGAAAGCCCACGGCUCAACCGUGGAGGGUCAUUGGAAACUGGAAAACUUGAGUGCAGAAGAGAAGAGUGGAAUUCCAUGUGUAGCGGUGAAAUGCGUAGAGAUGUGGAGGAACACCAGUGGCGAAGGCGACUUUCUGGUCUGUAACUGACGCUGAUGUGCGAAAGCGUGGGGAUGCGUGGGGAGCAAACAGGAUUAGAUACCCUUAGUCCACGCCGUAAACGAUGACAUGCCAGCCGUUGGGGUGCAUGCACUUCGGUGACGCAGCUAACGCAUUAAGCAAUGCCGUAGCUAACGCAUUAAGUAUGCCGGAGCUAACGCGUUAAACGCGCCACCUGGGAAGUACGAUCGCAAGACUUGAACUGGGAGUACGUUCGCAAGAACGAAAACUCUUGGAAAUUGAGGGGGCCCGCACAA